CCUAACACAUGCAAGUCGAGCGGCAGCGGGAAAGUAGCCUGCUACUUUUGCCGGCGAGCGGCGGACGGGUGAGUAAUGCCUGGGAAAUUGCCCAGUCGAGGGGGAUACUAGUUGGAAACGACUGUUAAUACCGCAUAAUGUCUACGGACCAAAGUGUGGGACCUUCGGGGCACAUGCUAUCGGAUGCGCCUCAGUGGGAUUAGCUAGUGGGUGAGGUAAUGGCUCACCAAGGCGACGAUCUCUAGCUGGUUUGAGAGGAUGAGCAGCCACACUGGAACUGAGACACGGUCCAGACGCCGACGGGAGGCAGCAGUGGGGAAUAUUGGACAAGGGGCGCAAGCCUGAUCCAGCCAUGCCGCGUGUGUGAAGAAGGCCUUCGGGUUGUAAAGCACUUUCAGCGAGGAGGAAGGGGUGUGUGUUAAUAGUACACACCUUUGACGUUACUCGCAGAAGAAGCACCGGCUAACUCUGUGCCAGCCGCCGCAGUAAUAC
rnacentral:rRNA from 1 species